rnacentral:misc_RNA from 1 species
AUACUCGACACAUGAGAAUGAAACUAGAAUUGAAACAGAUGUCUCCAUCUGAGCUUCAGGGGAGAAUUUUGGAUUUAGCUUGUGCUUCGUAACAGCCAAUGCAAAAACCACAACCAUAAGAAAGGCAGACUCAGCAAUUUUUUCAAUAUCGCUAAGUAAUUCAUCCUCUUUGCCGCGAAGAACCAAGGCCACCUGUCGAUGCCUCAAGUAUAGAUCUUGGCAGAAAUGCCAUAUCAUAUUUUCC